AAGAUUGAAAAAAGAAAAGAACAAAAAACAAAAUUUAUGUUGAAAAAUGAAGUGAGUUGGUUCAGAACCCCACAUUUUUCGCUCUUUCCUUUUGCUCUGCCGCCUUACGUGUACGAUCCUUGAUACUGGCCAAAACUUUGAGGUAUUUCUCAUAACC
rnacentral:ribozyme from 13 species